UAUUAGGAGGAUGGGCCCUUGGAGAGGUGAUUAAGUCCUGGUGGGAUUAAUAUCCUUGUCAAAGGGGCCCAAGGGAGCUCUUUUUCCUUCCACCAGGUGAGCCACAGCGAGAAGACACCAUUCAUGAACCAGGACGACGUCCCUCGCCACACACUGAAUCUGCAAACGCAUUGAUCUUGAACUUCUCAGACUUCAGAACUGGCGAUGAAACUAGGAAGCUGUUUGCUGUGUCUUGGCUUCCCCAGUAACCAAAAAUAAGCCCCGUCCCCUGGCUCCCAACUCUGAGCCAAGAAAGAAACCCUGAUGGGUUCU
rnacentral:lncRNA from 1 species